AUUUCAUCAGUACGUAAAACUAUCAAUACUUAAAACUUAACCCUCCAGAUUAGAGUUCGCCCUAAAGAAAUCCUCUCUGGCCCGAUUCCCAAGGGGCACCGCUCAGAUGAAUCUCCUCCGCUCCAACGCCGUUCUUUCCCCUUUCCUCUGAAGCAGCUCCUCUUCCUCUCCCUGGUCCUGAUGGUGACUCCUUUUUUGUCACGGUUCAGACCUCCUCCAGAUCCGCCUCCUCCAGAUCUGCCGCCGUGGUCGCUGUGUAAGUCUCGUCCGUUUACAGCUCGCUUCCUCAUCGUCCCUCCAGAACCUCCAGACGCCCCCCUUCUCCUCGCUCCUCUCCUUCAAACCCUCGAAUCCUCCAUCAAUCCUGUCGUCUUCCUCCCUCGUUGCAGCUCUCCGGUUCCUGUUGCUGCAGCUUCUCCUCUGAGAUUUCAGCACAGUUCCUCUUUUCAGCUCGAGCCAUAGUUUAUCUUUGCAGAAACCUCCUCUCUCCUAGUCAAGCUUUCAAAAGGGACUGAUGCUUCUAAAAAUGAAGGUCUUGGAUAGUGUAUCCAUGGUAUGGAUGAAGCUCAUGACUCUCAAAGCUUUGCUAGGAUACUAUAUGGGGUCUCAACCCUUGCAGCCGAAGCUUUGACGUUGCAGGUGGCCCUUCCUUCAGCAUCAUCUGCUGGAUUUUCAAAGCUUCAAGAAAUUUGGGACUCUAUUGUCCUCUUCUCUGCCCUGCAUUCAGGAAUGGAUUUGAACGAGAUCGCAGGUUGUCUCCUUACAAACCUUGCCACUCUCUUUAGUCCUCUAUCAUUUAACUUUUAUCAGUGCACGGCAUUAUGUCUGGCUGUUGCAAUUGCUAUGUGUGUUUUCUUCAGACUAUGUUCUUCUAUUACUCUAUUUUGAGAUAUGAAUGAAUGAAAGAAAUGUUUGACAAAAAAAAAAAAACUUAACCCUC